GCCCUUGUGCCAGCAGCCGCGGUAAUACGUAGGGUGCGAGCGUUGUCCGGAAUUACUGGGCGUAAAGAGCUCGUAGGUGGUUUGUCGCGUUGUUCGUGAAAUCUCACGGCUUAACUGUGAGCGUGCGGGCGAUACGGGCAGACUAGAGUACUGCAGGGGAGACUGGAAUUCCUGGUGUAGCGGUGGAAUGCGCAGAUAUCAGGAGGAACACCGGUGGCGAAGGCGGGUCUCUGGGCAGUAACUGACGCUGAGGAGCGAAAGCGUGGGGAGCGAACAGGAUUAGAUACCCUGGUAGUCCACGCCGUAAACGGUGGGUACUAGGUGUGGGUUUCCUUCCUUGGGAUCCGUGCCGUAGCUAACGCAUUAAGUACCCCGCCUGGGGAGUACGGCCGCAAGGCUAAACUCAAAGGAAUUGACGGGGGCCCGCACAAGCGGCGGAGCAUGUGGAUUAAUUCGAUGCAACGCGAAGACCUUACCUGGGUUUGACAUGCACAGGACGCGGUUGAGAUAGGCGUU
rnacentral:rRNA from 1 species